AGGGUUAUAGUUAAGUUAUAACAUUUGAUUUGCAUUCAAAAAUUAUUGAAAUCUCCAAUUUACCUU
rnacentral:tRNA from 1 species